CCUCGAUCUCCCUCUGCAGGAUGUUGUGCUCAGCAACCUGCUGCUCCAGGUCCGCUAUGCCUGGCCCGUAUUGGCCCUCGCUGAUCUGCUUCUGCAGAAGAAUAGGCCACUCAGCCCUGCCUGAAGGACCCAGGCAGGGGCCCAGAGAUCCUUACAGAGCCUCCCUGCCUGCCCUCCCAGCAAUCCCAUCAGGAGAAGUCGAGUGGGCCAGCACGCAGGCCCAGUCGACCCGGGGCUCCACAUCCGGCGGCAGCACCAUCUUCUCAUACAAGGCUCGGUAAUCGGCACACUCCUGGGUCACCCGCUCAUGCAGCUGCUUGAUGCUGCCAGAGGAUUGACCUGCGGAUCAGGGAUGGGCCUCCAGGGACCUCCGUGCCUCCGUCCUGCGCCCCAGCCCACUUACUCUUUCUCAAUCUCCUCGGCCUGUGGGUGCCGGAGGCGCUUGGCCUUGUCCACAUCCAGGAAGAGAUCUUUGAGCAGCACCUCGGCCUCCUUCAGGUUGCGGCCGGUCUCCUGCUGGUGCUGCAGAGCCUGGCUCUGCUCACUGCUCAGCCGGUCCUAGGGGAAGGGACGCCGAGGCUCGCCAGGCCCGGGCCCCCAUCCUCCCUAUGUGCUGCUGCCGCCAGCCCAAGCCCAGCCCACCGCAGACCCGCGAGGCCCAGGGCUCGGCAUCGUGAAGCAGGUAGCAAGCGUGCAGAAGUCCAGGCCACGCUUCCUGCCCCAACGCAGGGAGUAGCAGAGCCGAGAAGGAAGGCCAAGCUCUGUCCCACCGCGUGUGGGGAGCAGACAAUGAAGAACCAGGGUGACUGGCCCCUUGUAGCAUCAUGGACACCCAGAUACAACACUGGGCCUCCCAUGCCACCUGGCCCGUCCCUGCUGCCUGCGCCUUACCUGCUGCAGCCUCUUCUGGGUCUCUAGGAUGUCCCUCUCCACCUGGUCAGCGUUGGCUUGCAUGCGGGAGAUAAGCAAGGCCAGCUCCUGUGUGGCAGCCCUGGGAGGUGGCAGAGCAUAGAGGGUCACACAGGGAGAGGCCCUUUGUGCCCCACCCAGAGGGAUCCGCUUCCUCCCACAACCAGGCUCUCUGCCCUGGACUCCUGGAUAGUCAGCCUUGGGACUGGGGUUCAGGAAGUGAGCCUCCCGAGUUGGGUCAUGAGGUGGCACAGAUGGCCUUGGGCUCCCAGCCUCAGCCAGCUGGCCCAGCAGUGAGUCCCACUCUGACCAGCUGCUCUGCUUCCUCAGGCUGGCAGGUGGCUGACCCCAGGAGCCAGUGAAUCAACAGCUCAGCCACCAAUGGCUGAGCCUGCUGGCUGGGCCCAGGAGAGGCGGUAAAGCUGCCAGGGACAGAGAGCGGCGGAGCAGCCCCUGCCCUGGUGGUCUCUCCCGUCACCCUCAAAUAGCUUUGCCUUUGUCAGGCCACACAGUGUUAGAGAAGGAAUCAAAAGAUGGUUUGGUGCCAGGUGUGGUAGUGCAUACCGGUAAUCCCAACACUCAGGAGGCUGAGGCAGGAGGAUUGCCUCAAGUUUGAGGCCAGCCUGGGCUACACAGCAAAACUAUCUCAAAAUAUAAAAAACAGGGGCUGGGGAUUUAGCUCAGCGGCAUAAGCGCCUGCCUUGCAAGCAGGCAGUCGUGAGUUCGAUCCCUGGUACCGAUAAAAAGGAAAAAGACAAAAAAAAAAAAAAAAAAAAUUAAAAUAUAAAAAACAGCAGCUGGGGAUUUAGCUCAGUGGCAUAAGCACCUGCCUUGCAAGCAGGCAGUUGUGAGUUUGAUCCCUGGUACCGAUAAAAAGGAAAAAGACAAAUAAAUAAAUAAAAAUAAAAAACAGAGGGGGUACCCCACUAUUCAGAUUCAGGGACCUGAAGUCCAGAUGGGGCCCGACUCGUCCUGGGUCUCACAGGGACAGAGGUGUGCAGAGCCUGCUGCUGCAUGAGCCCAGGACUCUUUUCCCUCAUGGAGUGCUGCUGUUGGUCACACUCUCUGAGGGUCGAGGGGGCCAUGCAGACCUAAAAAAGGCAAAGUGGUCCAAGCUUGAGGGGCAUGGUACUGUUAGGGUCACAGCUCUAGAAGAGGGGGGCCUUCAGGAUGCAGUAAACUUGGUCAAGUGACAGCAUCCCCAGGCAGGGGCCGAUGCCAGCACAGACACAGCAGUCUGAAAAGGACUGUGGUCCAGAGGUCCUGGGUUUGGCCCUUCUCUAUCACCGCUGCUGGGUAAUGCCAGACAAAUCAGACACAUCUCUGUGCCUAAGGUUUCUUACUUAUCAAAUGGGGCUUGGUUUAUCUUGGGUUUUUGAGACAGGGUCUCACUUUGUGGUCUAGGCUCACUUCAAUCUCAUAGCAAUCCUCCUGCCUAAGCCACCAAGAGUGCUGGGAUUACAGACGUGUACCACUACACCCAGCAAAGUGGGGUUUUACUGGUAUCUUCUUCAGAGCCCGUUGGAAGCCUCAAGUGCAGUUAGUGCUCAGCACUUGGUGGUAGUUUGUUCUGCAGAGGGUGAGCACCUCGAAGGCAGGGCCUGGAGGUUCUGUUUCCGGUGGCAUCUCCAGCACCAGGGAGCACUCACAGGGAGCACCACCCACUGUGAGUGCUCGGGGAAGCAGGAGCCCUCUCUGGGGUGCUGCAGAUGGAGCUGCCCCAGGGCAGCAGGCACAGCAGCCUGCCUGGACUGGGCUGGUCUCAAGUGACCCGGAAAGGAUAGGUCACUCCAGUGAGAGUCUUAACUGCUGUCUUUCCUGUCUUCCCAGAAACCCAGCCUGUGUGCACCCUGAUCCCUAUCGGGGUAAUGGGCGCCCCACCCCAGCCUUUCAUCUCUGCUCUUAUCUUGACACCCUGACACCCUCGAGAAGGGUGGGCAGUCACCUCCUCCUGCCAAGAGGCUGAAGGCGUAAGCUGGAAGAAGGCGGCCUGGUCUGUGUGCAGAGAGAGCCACGGCGCCCCCUCCACACCGCGGUGCAAAGGAACUCCAGCUCUUACCACCCGCCACAGGCCAGGAUGAGAACUUGGGAAAACUGCUUGGGGUGGAGGUAACAGAGUCACAGCGGCCACCUCCCUCUCACCUUCCACCUCCUGGGCCUGCCUACCUUCACCCAGGCUGAAGAUGGUCCCAGCCAAGCGGAGCCUUGAGAGCAGAGCCCUGGACAAGAGCCAGGUCCAGCAGCCUGUGGGCCUCUCCCCCCACCUCUCCUGCAGAGAGGCCUCCAGGAGUGGCCCUCAGGAGCCAUGGCCAUCAUCCGCUUCCUGCCAGGGCUGGAGCAUAGCCUGGGCCAGAGGCUCCUGAGAAAAAACAAAAGGAGAAAGAGGAGGAGAAGAAGAAGAGGAAGAAGAAGAAAAAAAAGAAGACGAAGAAGAAGAAAGAUAGAUAUGGGUCCAAUUUUAAUCUUUGGCAUAUGUAGAGCCAGUUUUUCCAACACCAUUUAUUAAAGAGGCUGUCUUUCUUCCAGUGAA